UGCCCCUGGUCAUUAAUAAUCAUGAUACCUUUUGAGCUCAUUUCUUUUUCUUACGCAGCUCCUUGCUCUUUUUUUCCUUCCCAAUUUGUCCCCCUUUUUUCCCCAUCCCAGGAAAAGGCUACAAAGAAGACGGCGACAGAUAGAAAUGUUCAUAAAUGAACUAUAUUUCUUGAGGGCAGUGGAGAUGGUAGAAAAUCUACCAAGAAUGCUGUGGUUUGAGAAACGGGAGCGUGUUCGCGCUCAUUCGCAAAGAUAACGGGGGGGAUGAAAAGCGCGAGUCGAACUGAAGUAACUGUGUUCUGACCAUCCGAUAUAUAAGAGAGUAACAUAACAGUAAGUUAUAAAAGUAUAGAAGAAGAUUAUAAAAUGGUAUCUAAGAGGUCAAAUAUCCAAAAUUGAUAGAAGGUAUUAGGUUGAAGAAUCCAAAAAAAGAAAAAAAAAAUUAUAAUUGCUGGCCACUUUUGCUUUGUGACCGUUCAACCCAUUGAGAAACCACGAAAAUAAAAAUUUUGCAAACAAAAAGAUUAAAAAUAAAAUAUAAAAAAAAGAGAGAGAACGAAAAGAAAAGGGAAAAAGAAAAGAGAAAAAGAAAAGGUCAAACAAACAGCCAC
rnacentral:sRNA from 1 species